GAGUGGAAUUGGACAAGCAUUGAUCUAUAUAAGGCCACUGCAGAAAAGUCUUGCUUUGGACGACAGCCUGACAACUCUCCAGCAACAAGGACCACUCACAAAAUGCCUGAAUUGUGACACUAACAUUCCUUUAAAUAAAAUGAAAAACCACAUCACUGAAUGCACAAGUCAGGUGAGGCAGACCCGUAGUUCCACAGCAGAGGUCCCAUCCUGUAACAAUAGUGAUGCCUUGAAGCUGUCCAGCGGGGUAGAGGAACCAGAUGUUAUCAUAUUGGACUCCACCAUAGUCUCAGCAAGAGCAGAGCAAUUGUCAGUUGAAAUGGGAGUGCAGAAACAUGCAGCAUCUCAUCAAGAUGAAGAAAAGUCACUUGUAGGGGAAAAACCAGGUAGUCCAUAGCACAGGAAUAAAGUUAGGAAAAUACCAGACAAAUGGCAAUGAAUUACAUAUUCAACUAGGAUUAAAUCUAUUUCGCUUGAUUUAUGUGAUCCAUGCAAAUGGGUCUUUCAGAGU